AAAGCAUGCAUUAGAAAAGUUUGGACCCAAACUUUUGGGUUUGGGUCUAGGAGAUGUCUACGAAGCAACCUUGGGGCAGGAGCAAAGAGCCAGAAAUUAGUGCUCUGCAUAUAUGAUCUUCAAGUAUUGUGAGACACUCAGACACUUUCCAGAUGUGAAAAAUCUCAGCAGGGAAACAAAGCAGCUUAUGGGAUGGGGAUGCUGACAGGACAUGGAAGAUAACUUCUGAAUUCCCAGCACAGCAGCAAAAAAGGCAACAAAAUGAGUGUGUCAUUGCAGCCAUUGAACCUGACCUGCCUCUAGCAAAGCUAAAACAUGGAAAUAUUCUCUGAGUUCCUCUGACCUGAAAUGUUGCAGAAAGCUCAUGCCAGCAUUCCAACUUAUUGUGUAAACAUGACCCCUAUGGUGGAAGGAGCUCUGGGAAUGCAGCAGCUUAAUGAGCAGGAAGAUGAAGGAGAUAAAUAUCAGAGCAAGCACUACUGGUGUGCUGAGAAGAUAAUUACAUCUGGUGUCUGUAACCCAGAAUGGUAAAACUCUCAACUAGAGAAUGCCAAAUAGCCACAAAAUGUGUUCUUGAUACGAGAUUCUACAGGACAGGAGCCCAAACCACCAAGGCACAGGAAAGGGAUAUGGCUGUGUCCACCUGAGACAUGGAAACUGAGGAUCACCAAUGCCAGAAAUGCAAGUAUUCAAUUUUUGAGACAGCUGAAGAGACAAUAGAGGAAGUUACUUGCAAUACAUUUCAGUACAAGUUAAAGACUUUGUGGUUAUUUAAAUUAUUCUAAAUUACUGAAAGAUUAUGGACCACGCUUAAGAUGAGUACUUCUUUUGCAAAAAUACAUUAACUAUAGCAAAUUAAAUUUGCC
rnacentral:lncRNA from 1 species